ACCGAUCUACAUCAAGGAUUGAUCAACCAAAAACAUGCGAUCUAAAAAAAAACACAUGCAUCACAAGCAUGAUCAUAUAAGGCGAAAACAAGCAUUCAGGCUCUGAUACCAAUUGUUGGAAAUAAUAGGCAGCGGAAACUUACAAACCGGAUAGCCAACGUAUCCGGGAACCGGAAUCGGAUCGGGUUGCUUGUUUUACAAGCCUUCUUGGAUCGUCCUUGUCUCGAUGCUUCUGGAUCUCCCACGUUUCUCGUCUUCUUCCACGCGUACGCCUUACGUCACGGAACGGAUCGCCUUACGUCACGGAUGCCAAUCGGAGAGGGCUACCAGAGUCCUCUCCUAUGUCCACACCCUAAAACCCCGGAAACGUAGGUGGAAAUCCCAGAGAGGAAGAGGAGAGAGAAGAAGGAAGAUUUUGUGGAUUCUCGAAUUAGAUCGUAUUCUUUUUCCGUCGUUCCUACGGGAGAAAACGGGGGCGUAUAUAUAAAAUAACGGAACCCCUAAAUAUCCUGAAUCUCAUUAGGAUUAGGAUUGAGAUAUUUAUUAACAUAUAAUAAAUAUCCAUUAUAAGAUAUGUUUCUUAACUGAUAAGAAACAUAUAAUUUAUACUUAUCCUAAACUUAUUAGGAUAAAUCAUGAUCCACAACUUAUGUGGAUCGGGUCAAAUCAUAAUCCGCCAAUGUGGACACACCAUAUGACAACAAGGUCAAUCUAACACUAUUAGAUAGAAUGAAGUUAAGAAAAAAUAUAUAGAAAUAUAUUUCUGCGUUCUUCGAUGGGACUGCAAAAAAUAUAUCGUAACUGACUAACCGCAAUAUGCGGAACACAAUAUUACGUACAAAAUAAAUAGGGUAUUUUUUCAUUGUCGUUUCUCCCCGCACGUAACGUAAUCUCCCCGCAAUCUCAAACGAAGCCUAAGCGCAGUGAUGAAAAUUCACUGUCGCACGUAACGUAAUCUCCCCGCAAUCUCAAACGAAGCCUAAGCGCAGUGAUGAAAAUUUACUGCGCUUAAAUGGGUGUAUUUCGCUGUCACGCAGAAUAUAUAUAUAGU
rnacentral:lncRNA from 1 species